AAAAAACCGACACAGGUGGACUGGUAGAGAAUACCAAGGCGCUUGAGCGAAGUGUGCUGAAGGAACUCGGCAAAUUACCUGCGUAACUUCGGGAGAAGCAGGCCGUCAUUUUGGGCAACCAGAGUGGCGGGGCACAGACCAGGGGGUGGCGACUGUUUACCUAAAACACAGGGCUAUGCUAAGUCCAACGACGACGUAUAUGGCCUGACGCCUGCCCGGUGCUGGAAGGUUAAGAGGAGAAGUGCAAGCCUUGAAUCGAAGCCCCAGUAAACGGCGGCCGUAACAAUAACGGUCCUAAGGUAGCGAAAUUCCUUGUCGGGUAAGUUCCGACCUGCACGAAUGGCGUAACGACUUCCCCACUGUCUCCAGCACACACUCAGUGAAAUUGAAUUCCCCGUGAAGAUGCGGGGUUCCUGCGGUUAGACGGAAAGACCCCGUGCACCUUUACUGUAGCUUUACACUGGCAACCGUGUUUGCAUGUGUAGGAUAGGUGGUAGGCUUUGAAGCAGGGGCGCCAGCUCUUGUGGAGCCGCAAUGUGAAAUACCACCCUUAUGAACAUGGUUGUCUAACCGCGGACCGUCAUCCGGUCCCGGGACAUUGUAUGGUAGGCAGUUUGACUGGGGCGGUCGCCUCCUAAAUUGUAACGGAGGCGUGCGAAGGUGGGCUCAGGUUGGUCGGAAAUCAACCGUCGAGUGCAAUGGCAUAAGCCCGCCUGACUGCGAGACUGACAAGUCGAGCAGAGUCGAAAGACGGCCAUAGUGAUCCGGUGGUUCUGUGUGGAAGGGCCAUCGCUCAACGAAUAAAAGGUACGCCGGGGAUAACAGGCUGAUGAUUCCCAAGAGUCCAUAUCGACGGAAUCGUUUGGCACCUCGAUGUCGGCUCAUCUCAUCCUGGGGCUGGAGCAGGUCCCAAGGGUAUGGCUGUUCGCCAUUUAAAGAGGUACGUGAGCUGGGUUCAGAACGUCGCGAGACAGUUCGGUCCCUAUCUGCCGUAGGCGUUGGAGAAUUGAGAGGAUCUGACCUUAGUACGAGAGGACCGGGUUGGACGCACCUCUGGUGGACCUGUUGUCGCGCCAGCGGCACAGCAGGGUAGCUAUGUGCGGACGGGAUAACCGCUGAAGGCAUCUAAGCGGGAAACCCACCUCGAGAUGAUUUCUCCCUUGAGAGCCGUUGUAGACCACAGCGUUGAUAGGCCGGGUGUGGAAGUGCAGCAAUGCAUGUAGCUUACCGGUACUAAUAGCUC
rnacentral:rRNA from 1 species